rnacentral:rRNA from 1 species
CAGUCGCCACGGUAAUACGAAGGGGGCUAGCGUUGCUCGGAAUGACUGGGCGUAAAGGGCGCGUAGGCGGCGAUCAAAGUCAGGCGUGAAAUUCCUGGGCUCAACCUGGGGGCUGCGUUUGAUACUUGGUUGCUAGAGUGAGGAAGAGGGUCGUGGAAUUCCCAGUGUAGAGGUGAAAUUCGUAGAUACUGGGAAGAACACCGGUGGCGAAGGCGGCGACCUGGUCCUUGACUGACGCUGAGGCGCGAAAGCGUGGGGAGCAAACAGGAUUAGAGACCCGCGUAGUCCCUGUCUCUUAUAC